UUCAGGUGUUUUCAUUUGGUGAUCAGGACGGAGCACAGAGGACGCAUCAUGGAGUUUGGGCUGAGCUGGGUUUUUCUUGUUGCUAUUUUAAAAGGUGUCCAGUCUGAGGUGCAGCUGGUGGAGUCUGGGGGAGGCUUGGUACAGCCUGGGGGGUCCCUGAGACUCUCCUGUGUAGCCUCUGGAUUCAGCUUCAGUGACCACUACAUGGACUGGGUCCGCCAGGCUCCAGGGAAGGGGCUGGAGUGGGUCUCAAGUAUUAGCAGUGGUAGUGGUAGUACCACAUUGUACCCAGACUCUGUCAAGGGCCGAUUCACCAUCUCCAGAGACAAUGCCAAGAACACAGUGUAUCUGCAAAUGAACAGCCUGAGAGCCGAGGACACGGCUGUCUAUUACUGUGCGAGACACACAGUGAGGGGAGGUCAGUGUGAGCCCAGACACAAACCUCCCUGCAGAAACGUUCAGGGGAAAUCAGCUGCAGGGGCUGCUCAGGACCCACUGAUCAGAGUCAACCCCAAAGGCAGGUGCUAUAG